rnacentral:rRNA from 1 species
GAUGAACGCUCGCUGUGUGCCUAAUACAUGCAUGUUGAACGGGAUGUAGCAAUACAUUCAGUAGCGAAUGGGUGAGUAACACGUACCUAACCUACCUUUAAGACUGGGAUAACUAUUGGAAACAAUAGCUAAUACCGGAUAUAGUUAUUUAUCGCAUGAUGAGUAAUAGAAAGGAGCUUCACAGCUUCACUUAAAAAUGGGGGUGCGGAACAUUAGUUAGUUGGUAGGGUAAUGGCCUACCAAGACGAUGAUGUUUAGCCGGGCCGAGAGGCUGUACGGCCACACUGGGACUGAGAUACGGCCCAGACUCCUACGGGAGGCAGCAGUAGGGAAUCUUCGGCAAUGGACGAAAGUCUGACCGAGCAACGCCGCGUGAGUGAAGAAGGUUUUCGGAUCGUAAAGCUCUGUUGUAAGAGAAGAACGGGUGUGAGAGUGGAAAGUUCACACUGUGACGGUAUCUUACCAGAAAGGGACGGCUAACUACGUGCCAGCAGCCGCGGUAAUACGUAGGUGGCAAGCGUUAUCCGGAAUCAUUGGGUUUAAAGGGUCCGUAGGCGGGCUGAUAAGUCAGAGGUGAAAGCGCUUAGCUCAACUAAGCAACUGCCUUUGAAACUGUCAGUCUUGAAUGAUUGUGAAGUAGUUGGAAUGUGUAGUGUAGCGGUGAAAUGCUUAGAUAUUACACAGAACACCGAUAGCGAAGGCGUAUUACUAACAAUUUAUUGACGCUGAUGGACGAAAGCGUGGGGAGCGAACAGG